UACGUAAGGGGCUAGCGUUGUUCGGAAUCAUUGGGCGUAAAGGGCGUGUAGGCGGUUUAAUAAGUUGGAUGUGAAAUUUCGGAGCUUAACUCCGAAACUGCGUUCAAAACUGUUAGACUAGAGUUCAGGAGAGGAUAGUGGAAUUCCUGGUGUAGGGGUGAAAUCUAUAGAUAUCAGGAAGAACACCGGUGGCGAAGGCGGCUAUCUGGCCUUGAACUGACGCUGAGGCGCGAAAGCUAGGGGAG
rnacentral:rRNA from 1 species